AGCGAACGCUGGCGGCAGGCCUAACACAUGCAAGUCGAACGGAUCCUUCGGGAUUAGUGGCGGACGGGUGAGUAACACGUGGGAACGUGCCCUUUGGUUCGGAACAACUCAGGGAAACUUGAGCUAAUACCGGAUGUGCCCUUCGGGGGAAAGAUUUAUCGCCAUUGGAGCGGCCCGCGUCUGAUUAGCUAGUUGGUGAGGUAAAGGCUCACCAAGGCGACGAUCAGUAGCUGGUCUGAGAGGAUGAUCAGCCACAUUGGGACUGAGACGCGGCCGAAACUGCUGCGGGAGGCAGCAGUGAGGACUCUUGCGCAAUGGGCGAAAGCCUGACGCAGCCAUGCCGCGUGAAUGAUUAAGGUCUUAGGAUUGUAAAAUUCUUUCACCGGGGACGAUAAUGACGGUACCCGGAGAAGAAGCCCCGGCUAACUUCGUGCCAGCCGCCGCCGUAACAC
rnacentral:rRNA from 1 species